ACUAUUUUGGCAGAAAAAAUGUAAUGGUUUUAGAAGUCAUGAAUAUAUAAAUAAUUAAUUAUAUAGAUAGUA
rnacentral:tRNA from 1 species